UUCUACUGGAUGAGAGGCCCUGAUUGCAGCACAAAUUUAAACGUGUUCUUUACAGGAAGAGCUCAAGUUUCCUCCCAGGAUGCUCUAGUCUGCUGGCUUCCACUGGCCCAGGAGUGACUUGUCAGCCCUGGCAUUUGGGUGAUGGCCCAGGGUCUCUGCUCAGCCUCCAGUCCUGCUUUCCUCACUUCUAGAGAUAAUCUUGGAGAGAGAGAAAGAUCCUGUCUCAAGGACCAGCCCAACGCUCAAGGUAGGACCAGAAGAUGCACCAUCAGAAGAUACAGCACGGACAGCUGAUGACACAGCUGCAGCUCAUGAAUUUUUACCAUGGAAGUUGCGAGCCUCCAGACAAGAACUUCACCCGGCCAGUACCUUGAUUUCAGCCUUCCCCGAGCAGAGAACCCAGUCAUGCUGCGCAAGAAUUCUGACACACAGAACGACUAUUCAUGGAGAAGUAGGCACCUGUGAAGAAGCAUUUCUCCCCAUGCCCGGAUCUUCACUGAAACAUGGACUGAAAGAUUUUAAGGGAAACAUCUACCAAUUGCAACAUAUGGACCUUAUAUGGAUCCCGAUUCAAACAAACAAAGAAAAAAUUAUGAGAUAAUUGGAAAAUUUGAACUCUGGUUGAAAAUUAACAAUAAUUUCUUAACAUAAAAUAUUCAAAGGUAUGAUAAUGGGUACAUAUACAUGGAUAUAGAUAUAUACAUAUAUAAUGAAAGGUUUGUGGGUGAAAUAAUGUAAAAUCUGGGAUUUGCUUCCAAAUCAUCUGGGUAGGGGUGGGGAUUAGUAGGUUUAUAGAAGAUGCAAAUUUGGCCAUGAGUUGAUGACUGUUGAGUCUGGGGUGAUGGGUGCCUGGAGGUUCAUUAUAUUUGUUCAUUAUGACAAAUACUUACUCUAUUUUGUGUUUUUGAAAUUUUUCAUUAAAAAG
rnacentral:lncRNA from 1 species